CAAUGGGGACACCCAUCCAUUGGGGGUGGGUGGAUCCCUAAACCUCAAAGAAAGGGGUCUGGUAGCAGGUAGGACUGGGGACAUUUGCUCUGUGAGCCUCUCCUGCCUCAGCUUUUCCUCCCUAACCCACAGGAAGCCUGCUGACCAAGAAGGGACAUUGGUUUAUCACUGAAGUGUCAAGUCUGUACUCUACAAGGGAAGGAACACUUGGUGGGCGGGGUGCUCAUACUCCUGAUAACAGAUUUGCCUUGGGGGACUUGGGUUGGCAGCCAUGGCAACACAUGAUCCUGAGCGCUACCCACACCAUCCCCACAAUCCUCUUGCCAUGUGCUGGAUUCAAGUGCUUUCCUUUCUUUUGACAGGGAGGCUACGGCUUAGCAAGACACCACAGGCUUGGGAUAAUUAAGGCCGGGAUCAUGACCUAUCACCCAGCAUCAGCCACCUGUCUCAGCCAUAGCCAAAAUGUCUGGCAUGUAGCCUGGAUGCCUUGAUAGUCCCAGCUGGGUGGGCCUGGGGUCCACGCCCUGGCCCUUACCAGCCACAUGUUCUGAGUGUAGUCAUCUGAUUGGUAGGGUUUAGAAUCCAUUAUGUCUGUGUCCAACCUCACUUUCAAUAUGAUCCCCAGGCGCCUCUCAGCCACCAUUUGUCAUCCUUUCUGCACAGAGGGCCAGGAACUGCUGACAUCUGAUCCUAGACUCUCACAUCUUGUGACAGAUGACCCCUAUCUUUUCCAGGUAGAGCUCAAGGCACUGCCACACAGACACCCCCCCCCCCCGAAGGCUGCCUUUCCAGCCAGGACUUCUUGCCAUAAAUGGAUGGAUAUGCCUUUUCACAGACAGCUCAUCCAGGACUCAGGAACCCUGGGGAAUGACCCUGUUCCUCACCUGCCAUUCAGGCCUUCCUUGCUUCCUUGAGGUGGACAUCCCUAGCGGACUCUCCAAAGAGGGUUCUGAAAGUUGGACAGCAUUGACCGUUCUGCUCUUUGAAGCUCUCAUCUGAGGGUGGGAGGAGCCCCAGUGGCCUUCCUGGGACAUGGCCUGAGGGUGCAUCUGGGGACUUACCAGCUCCAGCAGCUGAGCGCUUCACUUCUUUAUGACCUGCAUCCACCAGGUCUGCAAAGAGCGCACCAAUGUCACUUCAAGUACAUAGCUGCUGUAAGGAGCAAGUUAUAUUCCCCUCUGUGAGGGGGAUUGCAGAGGGUAAGCAGCAGCAUGGUGAGGACCUUGACCUGGGACACUAGUACAUCAGGUGCCUGACCCUCAGUCAGAAGUUGCAGCUGUUCCAGGCAGAUUCGGGAAUCAAUAGCGGCCUUUAUCCACCGAGUUCCCCUCAGUGCCAAAUCUGAUGCUGGGUACAGAGUCCCCAAGUCUCAAAAGAAGUGGGUCUGCCCCUGAAAGUCUCUGCGGGGGCAGGAGCAGGGGCUGACAUCCUAUACUGAGCAGAAAGGAGAAGACACACUGAACACUGGCAUUCACCUCCUUCUCUGAUGACUGCUGACACAAGGUGACCAACUGGCUCAGACUCUGGCCACCAUGCCUUUGGACUGUCCCCUCAGACUACAGAGUCAAAUAAAACCCUUUCUUUCUCA